UACUGUAAUAGACAGAUGUGUAAAAUCAUUUGCGAAUAUAGUGACCAUUGGGGAGUUUUGGACAAGAUAUUUUUGCUUAACCAUGUAGAUAUGUAUUUCGUGCUUUAUUGUUGAUUGAUGUUUAGUAUUCCAAUUUCCAACUGUUGUUUGUGUUUAGUUCGCCGCCCAAACAAGGUUGAUUUGUAUUUGUUUUUUUGGGGUCAGUUUUCUGAAUAUAUACGAUCGAGAUGGUGUGGACUCGAUUGGAUUGGACGAUGCUGCAAACAGAUUAGGGCUUCCGAAUUCGAAAGCUGAUAGGAAAGAGAAACCCUUGGUACCCUCCAGGAAUUGUCAGAGCACCUUGGGAUUAGCCGGUUGAAUUGAUGUCUUUCUGAUCCCACAAUGCAGGACUAUUUUGAGUAGAGAAUCCCCAAAGAUAGUCUGAGGAGUUCCAGAUUUCCCAUCAAUUUUUUCACUGCUGUGGGCCUUGGUGGCACUACAGAGAGCCUAUGAGAAGACAUGAAGAGUGUUCCAUGUCUUAUGAUGUAGCAAUUUGGAGAUUAUAGUGCCAAUCUGAUAGGGUGAAGCUCUGCAACUGUAGCCUUUUCUGUGGAAGAGAUGCCACAUCCGGUUGAGAUUGACGCAGAGAUGGCAGCAACGAGAGCGAAGAAUCUCCCACCAGCCGUCCGAUUCGAGGCCACAGACACCAGCGUCUGGAUUCCUCCUCCACGCAAUCCAAUCCGACGUAAGCUCCUCCUCUCUUUUUCCAAGCCGUCUUAGAUCGUCAGAACAGAGUCAGAUGUUUGGAAAGAACAAAAGAAGAAGUCUAGUCCACCAUCACCAUAUGAUGGAUGCUAAGGUUGCGAAAGACUUGAGUGCCGCGAUUGUUGUGGAAAAGAUCUUAGGUAGGACGAAUUACGUUCAUUUAGCCAUGCUUCCGAAAGGGGAAUGGCCAAAAUGGCGCAGGAUCCUGCGGUGGUAGUGGCCUUAACAAUUAUUCUUGUUGUUUUUGGGGCGGUGAUAACAGGUAUGUACUGGCCUUCCCUUUCAUGAAGAGAAAAUCAAAUGACACCAAGAUCCCAAAAAGUACGAAGAUGACUUCUUUUCUGUGCAGUUUAGGCUCCGUUUGUUUCUUCGUAAAACAUUUUAUGAUGUAAUAUAUUCUUUCGGUAAAUAAUUUUACCAAAAACUGUGACGCCCCGCCCUUGGAAGUUCCAGGUAAUGGUCGACCGGCCUGAGGGCGAUUGGGACCCGUGCGGGGGCUAUCUGAUCGGUGACCAGAGGGGUCAGCCGGGGGUGAUCCCACAUCGCUUGGUGAAGUACAAGUUGUGUGGUAUAAAUAAUAGAUCAUGCCCUAUCUUGUACAAGGCCUUUUAAAGCCGUAAGGGCGGGCCAAAGUGUGUUGAAACUUUGCAGUUAAGCGUACUCUUUCUGGAGCAAUCCAGGGAUGAUGACCUCACUGGAAAGUCUAUGGGCUUUGGGCGUCCAAAUCGGACAAUAUUGUACAAGGUUGGAGUGGGUUGUUACAAAAA